rnacentral:rRNA from 1 species
CCUACGGGCGGCAGCAGUGGGGAAUAUUGCACAAUGGGCGCAAGCCUGAUGCAGCCAUGCCGCGUGUGUGAAGAAGGCCUUCGGGUUGUAAAGCACUUUCAGCGGGGAGGAAGGCGUUAAGGUUAAUAACCUUGUCGAUUGACGUUACCCGCAGAAGAAGCACCGGCUAACUCCGUGCCAGCAGCCGCGGUAAUACGGAGGGUGCAAGCGUUAAUCGGAAUUACUGGGCGUAAAGCGCACGCAGGCGGUCUGUCAAGUCGGAUGUGAAAUCCCCGGGCUCAACCUGGGAACUGCAUUCGAAACUGGCAGGCUAGAGUAUUGUAGAGGGGGGUAGAAUUCCAGGUGUAGCGGUGAAAUGCGUAGAGAUCUGGAGGAAUACCGGUGGCGAAGGCGGCCCCCUGGACAAAGACUGACGCUCAGGUGCGAAAGCGUGGGGAGCAAACAGGAUUAGAUACCCCUGUAGUC